rnacentral:rRNA from 1 species
AUUGAACGCUGGCGGCAGGCCUAACACAUGCAAGUCGAGCGGAGCGGCGGACGGGGGAGUAAUGCCUAGGAAUCUGCCUGGUAGUGAGGGAUAACGUCCGGAAACGGGCGCUAAUACCGCAUACUCUCAGAUGAGCCUAGGUAGGAUUAGCUAGUUGGUGGGGUAAAGGCCUACCAAGGCGACGCUCCGUAACUGGUCUGAGAGGAUGAUCAGUCACACUGGAACUGAGACACGGUCCAGAUUCGUACGGGAGGCAGCAGUGGGGAAUAUUGGACAAUGGGCGAAAGCCUGAUCCAGCCAGGCCGCGUGUGUGAAGAAGGCCUUCGGGUUGUAAAGCACUUUCAGCGGGGAGGCGUUACCCGCAGAAGAAGCACCGGCUAACUCCGUGCCAGCAGCCGCGGUAAUAC